rnacentral:rRNA from 1 species
GACGAACGCUAGCGACGUGCCUAAGAAAUGCAAGUCGAGCGAUGACGGUGACUUCGGUCACUAGAUUAGCGGCGAACGGUCGCGUAACACGUAAGCAAUCUGCCCUAAAGACAGGGAUAGCCCGGUGAAAAUCGGAUUAAUACCUGAUGUGUAAAAACAUUCGCAUGUAUGUUUUUAUAAAGUAGCAAUACGCUUUAGGAUGAGCUUGCGGCCUAUCAGCUAGAUGGUGAGGUAAUGGCUUACCAUGGCGACGACGGGUAGCUGGUCUGAGAGGAUGGUCAGCCGGACUGGGACUGAGAUACGGCCCAGACUCCUACGGGGGCAGCAAUUAGGAAUCUUGCGCAAUGGGCGAAAGCCUGACGCAGCGACGUCGCGUGACCGAUGAAGUCUUUCGGGAUGUAAAGUCUUUUGACAGGGAAGAUAAUGACGGUACCUGUUGAAUUAAGCCCCGGCUAACUAACGUGCCAGCAAGCCGCGGUAAUCAUACUCGUUAC